rnacentral:lncRNA from 1 species
ACAGGCCUUGAAACUAUGGGAGAUGGGAGAACAGCCAUUGGGGAGCACAGUAGCCACCUCUCUCACUUCCAACUUAUGCCUGACCCUGCUAGAUGCUACACUUUGCCUGCUCACAGGUACAUCCUAGUUCUCAAGGAUCCCACAUAUAUAUACCAUUUCUCUUCUUGAAAAGUAUGGAAGGAUAAAGAAGGUAGAGUUCGACAAGACAGAGCCUGGGCUUCCUAAGGCCAUUUAGUCUGGGGACAAAUGGUGAACUUGCAGUGGUGAGGUAGAUAAAUCAGUUUCCAAGUGGGCUUUCUCCCAGAUGCCAGAGACCCUGGCUGUCCCUGUUUCAUCAUGCAUUCCAUCAACAAAUGAUUUACUUAGGAAAAAAUAUGGGGCACAAGUGCUACCCUCCCUCACUCGUUCCCUCAUGGUGGCUCCCUUCUCGGCUAAGCUGGAACAUGACCUCAGAAUCCUCAACACAACGUCCCUGGCAGUUACUCUGGUCCAAAAGACUUGACACUACUACUUAAAACUAUUAGCCAUCCUUAUUUCUUGUGGGAAUUUUUAUUUGGACGCACAAUUUCUGGGUAGUUUCUAAUUUCAUAUAAAUAUAUUUCUCAUGGUGGAAUUUUAGGUAUAUGCCCAGGCGAUAAAUGUAGGUAUUUAUAGGCGGCAGGCUUUGCAUUUCUCAGAUUUCACCACUCAGUGGCUGUAAUCACUCUCAUUGCUGGAAACUUGUUCUUGUGAUUGUUUAACUUACUGGACUGUGAGUUUCUCCAGAAUGGAAACUAUAAUCCACUUUCGUAUCCUCAAGGUGCCUGGCUCAGUAUACUCUCAAAAAUGUUAUCCAGAAAUGAGUCACCUGACUUGAUCAAGGUCAAGUGGCUAUCAAAGUAAAUACUUCCCCUGUAGCUGGUUACACUGUGGACUGCCUACUACCAAGGACAAAAGGCAGGCCUCAUUUGGAGAGGAGGUCGGUGACAGGAGGAGCAUCAGUAGCACAACACACAGAAUGUCUUGGUUAUUUCACAACUGCCUUAUAAAUGCUCGAGUAACCGUCAUGAGAAACUGACUACCAGGUGAAAGGGCAGCCAUACUCUGAGGAGACACUACAGAUUUUCCUUUCCACAAAAGGUUCAGGUCCUGGGCUAACUUGGCUCAGUGUUUUCUGUGUUCCAGAAGGUGACUCAGGGAGUUGUGCAAAUGACUGACUCAUAUUUCAUGGAUACGAGUAUGGCUGAUGUAAGACUGCAGUUAUCUCCUCCUGAUUCAAUUAAGGUAGACUAUUCUUGAUUGUUUUUAUCAGUAGAUCUAUAAAUUAUACAAGUUGAUACUAAUAUUGCUUAUGUUUUAAAUAGUGUGGUUCCACAGAAAAUUUUGUUUUUUCUGUGAGAAACAAAGCUACUAUUGCUAAAAAAGUGUCAAGAGCACUGACUUAGCUAUAGUUCAUCUGAGUUUUUUUUGAGACGGAGUCUUGCUCUGUCACCCAGGCUGGAGUGCAGUGGCACGAUCUCGGCUCACUGCAACCUCCACCUCCCGGGUUCACACCAUUCUCCUGCCUCAGCCUCCCGAGCAGCUGGAGCUAUAGGCGCCCACCACCACGCCUGGCUAAUUUUUUGUAUUUUUAAUAGAGACAGGGUUUCACUGUGUUAGCCAGGAUGGUCUUGAUCUCCUGACCUCGUGAUCCACUCACCUCAGCCUCCCAAACUGCUGGGAUUACAGGUGUGAACCACCGCGCCCGGCCCACCUGAGUUUUAUAUUUACCUGGUUACAGUGACCAAAUUCUUCAACAGUGAUCAUGGAGAAAGAUGAGACAAAAUAAUUCCCAAAUGAUUCUUUCUGCUCAAAGACCAGGGUGGGUAUGAGUAGAUCCAGGUCAAUUUUUUUUUUCUUUUAAGAGACAGGGUCUCACUCUGUCACCUAGGCUGGGGUACAGUGGUACAAUCAUAGCUCACUGCAGCCUCCUACUCCCAGACUCAAGCCAUCUUCCUAAUCCUCCUCAAGCUUGAGGACAGGCCUUGUUACAAUGCUCAGUGUGUACCUCUCCCCUUCUCCACUCCCCUUGUCCACAUUCUGGGCUAGAUCCACACUCUAUUGAGGAACUGUCUCUGUAUUUUGAUUCCCGAGUGACACAGUGUUGGAGAUCCUGUGGCUAGAUACACAGGUUAUUUCUGCAUAUGGCUACUCCUCAACCUUGUUGCCUGUCUUACUCUGGUCUGAGAGCUGAACCCCACAGAAAUAACAAGGCUCCCCUCAUCCCUUUCUCUGAAAGAUUAGUACUAGUCCUAAGUGGUUAGCUCCCAGCUUCCUUUAGGACAGAAAAAAGAGAAGGAGAGAAGUGACACUUGUUUUUUUACUCACAAAGUCUUGGAGAUAGGAGGUAGGAGGUUGGGGUGGAUGUAGCUUGGACUUUGGAAUUAGAACCAGGUUCAAAUCCCCAAUUAGGACAUUUCUCAGUAUUUUGAUCUUAGAUAGGUUUACUUAUCAAAGUGUCUAUUUAUAAAAUGGGGUAUAACUUAAUCAGAUUUAGAUGUAAGAAAUAGUAUAGUGCAUGGCAGCUAGCAGGCUUUCAACGAACGACAUCUCUCAUUACUAUCAUUUUGACAUCACAUUUAUCUGCUCAGAGUUGGUUACUGUUCUGCAAUUUUUCCCAAAGUGUCACUGUGUGUCAGGCAGGGAGUAUCUGCCUGGAGGAGUUUGAAGUAUGCAUGUAGGGUGGAUGAGUUGUGGGGGUCGGCACCCAGGUAAAUCACUAGCGAGGCUUUAGUACCCGUCUUUUCUCUCCAGGAUUCUUGACCAAAAGUUACACUCUAAAUUAAAGUCCAAACAGGUACAUACCUUGAUCUUAGUCAACUGGCCUAAGUUAACUUGUUCCCAACAUGACAAAACCCGA